rnacentral:lncRNA from 10 species
CCCGUGGCCGGGAGCGGAGCCGCAGCCUGGGCCCCGCACAGCGCCCCCCGCGCUCUGGAGCGGGGCGACAGCUCCUGGCCCCUCGCAGCGCUCCGCCCCAAUCUCCCCGGGGCCUGCAGUGCCCCCUGCGGUCUGGAGGGGAAUUGCAGGUCCGGCCGGGGUAGGGAAGUGGGCGGGUCCUUCAGCUUCCCCAUGGCAUCAUCCCUGGUCUCAAUCUUCCUUCAGGGAGUCGUAUAUAUGAGAGGGCUUUAGCUUGCUCUCCUCGGAUACCAAAGACAUUUACGGGGUAAGGGGGUGAGGGGCAAGGUACCUAGAGAGUGGAUGUUUUGAGCUAUUUAGUGUCUCCAAUACCCCCAUUGAUUUCCUAUCCUGAAAAUAUGAGCUCCUACCUGCUGUCUUGUAGGAAAUGUUCUCCCCAUUGGUCCAUGAGACACAAUGUCUUCCUUCUCAAUGGCCCAUAACAGCACCAUCCCAUUCUAUACUGCCAGCACUUCUUAGGUUCCUUUCCAAUUGGCCAAUGUAUUACUUCCAUUGGAUGUAUAAUGCCACUCUUUCCACUGACUGAAGGCCAACGUGCCCCCCAACAUCUUGGUGUUUUUCCUAAAACCGACCUAACUUCUUCCCCUUCCUAGUCUGCCAAUGUUAUUAAGUCUACGUGUUUCUCCAUUCAACUCUUAGGGGAACUGGAAAUAGACCAACAGUAAAGGGGUUCUCUUAGUAGCACUCCAUCUUACCAUGGAAUUAGUGGGGCUGGGGGCAAAGAAAAUUCUGUAACUCUUAUCUGAAUGCAUUUAAUACAGGUGUGGGAGACUGAUAGCUCCUGAUUAGAAAAGGAGCCUGCAGAGAAAGUGAGAUGCUGAGAUUUUUGGCUAGAUUGUUACCCACAAUAAGCAACAGGAAAUUGCCUCAAUCAUUUAAAGCUGGCAAUAUCAGGGACUAGCACAUUCCAUGGUCUCAUGGAUGCAGAGACUGAGUAUACACAAAAUGGAUACAAAAGAUAAAGGGUAUAGUAAUAACCCAUGACUGUUGUUCUAAAAGUGACUUUUUGAUUUUCCCUACAGACAGGAAAUAGUGGUAGCUGGUUCUUUCUCCAAGGCUUCUGUGCCUACCCCAGCUAUCUCCUGUCCAUAACCUUGUCUACACCCUUGACCUACUUUUCUUGUAACAAAGGCUUGGGGAGAGGGGUAACCAACUAUUGACUUUAUACUUUUACUAAAGUAUAAAACAUAUAGGAAAAUCAUUCUAGAACCAACCCUGUGGAGCACCAAGGAAACAUUCCUCCCUCCACUUCUUUUUAACUUCCAUCUCCCACAGCCAACCUGAGGCCUGACUCAGAAUGUUUUUCUGGGCUGAGAGCCACCUCUUAAAGCACAUGGCCCAUAAGCUGUAGUUGGUAGGAGGGGAACAAGGGUGAAUCCAUACAAGAUCUAUCUGCCUUGCAAUUUUUCUAUCAAAAUUAUCUGCUGGGAUUUUCUCCCAUACAGAGAUUUAACUACUGCCCCAAUGUCCAAGGCUAGUUUCUCACAGCAGAGAGACAGAAAUGUACCUAAGUUCACGGAUGGGAAAGGCAAAAGGGAAAUGCAUUCAACAAAUGUGACCAGCACUUUUCAUGUGCCAGGAACUUCCCAAAGUGUUGGGGACACAAUAUUGAAUAAAACAAAACUCUUGCCCUCAUGGAGUUUACGUUCUUUCCUAUAUUAACAAGACUUCAGGAAUGAAAAAUAAAAUCACACUUGGCCUCACAGAAAAUAGCAGAAAAAUCCAA